rnacentral:rRNA from 1 species
CAGCUUGUUGGUGGGGUAAUGGCCUACCAAGGCGACGACGGGUAGCCGGCCUGAGAGGGUGACCGGCCACACUGGGACUGAGACACGGCCCAGACUCCUACGGGAGGCAGCAGUGGGGAAUAUUGCACAAUGGGCGCAAGCCUGAUGCAGCGACGCCGCGUGAGGGAUGAAGGCCUUCGGGUUGUAAACCUCUUUCAGUAGGGAAGAAGCUGAUUCCUUUUGGGGUUGGUGACGGUACCUGCAGAAGAAGCGCCGGCUAACUACGUGCCAGCAGCCGCGGUAAUACGUAGGGCGCAAGCGUUAUCCGGAAUUAUUGGGCGUAAAGAGCUCGUAGGCGGCUUGUCGCGUCUGCCGUGAAAGUCCGGGGCUUAACUCCGGAUCUGCGGUGGGUACGGGCAGACUAGAGUGCAGUAGGGGAGACUGGAAUUCCUGGUGUAGCGGUGAAAUGCGCAGAUAUCAGGAGGAACACCGAUGGCGAAGGCAGGUCUCUGGGCUGUAACUGACGCUGAGGAGCGAAAGCAUGGGGAGCGAACAGGAUUAGAUACCCUGGUAGUCCAUGCCGUAAACGUUGGGCACUAGGUGUGGGGGACAUUCCACGUUUUCCGCGCCGUAGCUAACGCAUUAAGUGCCCCGCCUGGGGAAA